CGUCUCUUUGCUGGCCUCAGGAUCGCUGUCAUCAGUCAAGGCUGCCGGAGGGUUGUUUUCACGAGUUCUCUCAAAUGCUGCAGGAGCUUAGGAACAGAAAACAGGAGCUGCCUUCGAGAUCUGUUCUGGCAUUGGAAGCAUCCCAAGGUUUCCAGGGUGUGAAUACUGACUUGUCAACCAAAGGGCACGCUCCUCAUUCUCUCAAUGCCUAUCCUGCCUCUUCCAACCCAGGGUUGUGCCACCAUUUUAUCCAUUAAGCCCAGCCCCUGCCUUGUCAGUCCCACCCCAAUACACCAAGGACACUGAACUGGGGUUCUGCAGCAUCUUUGCUGAAAAAAAAUGAAAGGAUAGUUUCAAUCCCAUAGCCCCUGUCAUCACCUCUCAUCACACUCUACUGCCAUGAUCUCCUGAAGCAUGUGAACCUCCGUGACCUCCCUCACAAAUGUCCCCAGGCAUUGCUGAUGUGGCUGCAUAGCAUGGAUGGUCAGGAGACUGUCCAGUGAAUCUUGCAAACUCCUCCUCCCCCAACCUCAGCCAGGAGAUCACUCCUGGGUGAAGUCCUCCCAUCUCAAGCACAGUGAGGCUGUGGGUUGCAGGCUUCAGGACUGGCAUUCCUCUUGGGUAAAGCUUGCCCAUCUGCCACUCAAGAAGACUUUGAAAGUUUGAGUGGGGACCUCAUCUUAUUUACCUUGUCUUCAGUGCCCAGGAUGGUGUAAACAACACCCAGCACAUGUGGUAGGCUGAAUGGAAUGAGCUAACGGAACAGUCAAUGCCCUGACUAGCCCCACUUCCCCCUGAGGAACAGAGCAUUUUGCCUCUCACUAAGUGACUUUCACAAUUCCCCCAUAAGGCCUAGUCUAAGGACACAUAAUUCUUGUCUUGCUGACAGUUCCCAACAGGAUCCUAGAGAGGCUGUUGGUGUGCUAUGGAGAAUACCCCAAACCUCUUCCUUGCCCAUCUCGCUUACAGAGUUGAGCUGCCAGAAGCCAGUCCAGAGCUCGCACUCUGGGCUCAGAGAUCCCCAGUGCCUAUCAGUCUAUUCACCUUCCAGCUCAUGUGAGAACUGUGAAGCCUCCACUUCCUCAAAUACCCACAGCACUGGGCUUUUGCGGGUUGUGAAUGAGAGAAGGCCCCAGAACCCUCCAGCCCUGGCCAUGUUGCUCCUCUGCUGGACGUUCAUCACCGCUGAUGGUGGUCCCGACAAAGGUCAGGUUUGACUAUUCACAGUAGUCAAAGGGUGGAAACAACCCUGAUGUCCACCAGCUGAAGAAUGGAUGACCAAAUGCGAUCUAUCCAAGCAAUGGGAUCUCAUUCACUCAUAAAGCAAAUGAAGUUCUGACACAGCUGCAACGUGGAUGGACCUUGGAAACGUGAUACUGGGUGGAAGAAGGCAGACACCAAAGGCCACAUAUUGCAGGAUUCCAUUUAUGAGAAUGUUCAGAGUUGGCAAAUCUAGGGAGAAGGAAGUAGAUUAGUGAUUGCCAGGGGUCACAGAAGAGGGAGGAAUGAGAAGUGACUGCUAAAGCCUGAGGAAUCUUUAUGGGGUGAUGAAAAUAUUCUGGAAUUAGUGACGGGGGUGAGGGUGAGGUUGUGCCUCUCAGAAGGAGAUGGCAGGAGUUGUGUGGAGUUUCUGAACUUGAUGUGGAGCGAAAGUGCAGUGGUCAGUGAUGGUAGCUGGCCAAGUGGCCUAGGCAAUCCCCACCUGUGGCCUGGGUCCCCUCGAGGCUGACCCUAGAAGGGGUGAGUUGAGGUCAGUGAGCCCCCACAGAGGCAGCUCCUCGGCAGUGGGGAGUCAUUUCCUUCUGCUGAGUUGCACAGCAGGGCCUUUUAAGUGCAGAGCUGACCUGAACUGGGUCCCUCGGGAGGAGACCAGCCUGAUUCCUGCUCUAGAUGGUUCUUCCCAACCCCUUCUUAACUAGAGGUCAGGGGUCGAGUGCUCAUCUGUGC
ensembl:lncRNA